rnacentral:rRNA from 1 species
UACGAAGGUGGCAAGCGUUACUCGGAAUUACUAGGCGUAAAGGGCAGGUAGGCGGUCUCGUUAGUCUGUUGUGAAAGCUCCUUGCUUAACGGGGAGAGGCCAACAGAUACUGCGAGGCUUGAGUAUAGGAGAGGGUACUGGAAUUCCGGUGUAGCGGUGAAAUGCGCAGAGAUCGGGAGGAACACCAAUGGCGAAAGCAGGUACCUGGACUAUUACUGACGCUCAGCUGCGAAAGCUAGGGGAGCAAACAG